AGUGAGAGUGAGAGUGAGAGCGAAGAGGAGAGGAGGAGGAGGAAGAGGAGGGAAAGGAGGAAGAGGCGAGAGAGGGAGGAGGAGAGGGAAAGGAAAAGGAGGAAGAAGGAAAAAGAAAUGAAGAGGAAAAGGAAAGAGAAGAAGAAGAAAGAGAAAGAGAAGAGAAAGAAGGAUAAAUUGGAGAGAGGGAAAAGGGGGGCUGUCACUAAUUCAUGGGGAAAGUAUGGGAUCAUCAGAGAAACUGAUAUGUGGAACAAACGACCCGAGUUUACUGCCUGGUUAGCAGAAGUGAAACAGGUGAACCUGGAAAGUCUACCUAAUUGGGAAGAGAAGCAAAUGUUCAAAGA
rnacentral:misc_RNA from 1 species